AAAAAUACACAAAUAAUUUUGCAGACGAAAAAUAAUUUUUGAAAAAUAUUAAAACUUGGCAACGCCGCGGUGAGGUGCAAUAGAUUUUACCUUAUUGUUAUUGCUAAAGUGUAUUUCUACAUUUUCCACAAAAUUCAAAAGUUAAUUUCUGUUUUCUGUUUUGUUUCAUAGUUUUGUUCACAGUUACUUACUUGCUAUGCUAAACAUUUCAUUUUCAUAACCCAAGAUAAAUGCAUCACUGACAACCUGCAGCAGAAUGUAAGCACAGUUUAAAUUGGCUAGGAAGAAGCAGGACAAUAUUAAGGUGAAGCGGUCACGUAGAGGGAAAAACUUGUCGAGUCUGUUGCAGAAAAAGGGCAUGGUAUAGGCGAUCGUAUGAAAACUGAUCGUUGAAAUUCUCUACAAGAGAGGCGAUUAUAUAGCCUACAGCUGCAGUUCACGUGCGCCAGCGUUUACAUCAGAGGAAAAUGCAUCCGACAUUGAAGAUCGCCAAAUCUUCCCAACCAAUUUAGCCGAUUCUUGCCUUUUCCGUGGAACGCAUUUUACUAUUAGCCGAGAGCUCCAGUUCUAGCUCAUACGAAUAAGGUCGAACUAUCAACAGGCAGCAGUCCAUCGCCAAUAAUACUGUGGCAGCACCCAAUGAAAAUGUUGAAGAAGAAAACAAUCAGCCAUCAGAAGGCCGUUUGUCCCUCGUACAUGGAGACCCUUCGGCGGCCUGGCUAAUCGAAUUUCAAUUACCUACAACCCUAAUAUGGGAAAUUCUUUCGAGACCUUUGAUUCCUGUACUUCACCUUGUCCCAGUGGUGAUGCGGGAAUCUGUGUACCAGGAUCCGUUUGUUCCCUUUUUGGUGGUCGGCCAAGUGAGUCUUGCCCUUUAGGCAAAAUUUGUUGCAUCAAUACGGUCAACAAAUGUCACACUCAAUAACACGUAUUGGCAUUCUCCAACCACGCCCAUAUCUGAUUACUCAACUUGCGCACUGACCGUGAGAACAGAUUACAAGCUCGCGGAACAAAUGAAAAACCCAAUUUGUCAAA
rnacentral:lncRNA from 1 species